rnacentral:rRNA from 1 species
GACGAACGCUGGCGGCGUGCUUAACACAUGCAAGUCGAGCGGUAAGGCCCUUUCGGGGGUACACGAGCGGCGAACGGGUGAGUAACACGUGGGUGACCUGCCCUCAGCUCUGGGAUAAGCCUGGGAAACCGGGUCUAAUACCGGAUAUGACUCCAUGACGCAUGUUGUGGGGUGGAAAGCCUUGUGCGGCUGAGGAUGGGCCCGCGGCCUAUCAGCUUGUUGGUGGGGUGAUGGCCUACCAAGGCGACGACGGGUAGCCGGCCUGAGAGGGCGACCGGCCACACUGGGACUGAGACACGGCCCAGACUCCUACGGGAGGCAGCAGUGGGGAAUCUUGCGCAAUGGGCGAAAGCCUGACGCAGCGACGCCGCGUGAGGAUGAC